UAUUUUCCUCUUGUGCCUUUAAUAAUAUCUCUUUGAAAAACUGCAAACUGUCUUCUGUUGUUUUCCCCUUUAGACUUACUUCCCAUGGGAUCUUACCUAACAACUCUCUGAGUUUGCUAAAGUCUGCCUGCUUGAAAAUAGUUUUU